rnacentral:rRNA from 1 species
AGAGUUUGAUCAUGGCUCAGAACGUACGCUGGCGGCACGCCUAACACAUGCAAGUCGAACGAAGUAGCAAUACUUAGUGGCAGACGGGUGAGUAACAUGUAGGUAUCUGCCCUUUGGCCUGGAAUAACACGAGGAAACUUGUGCUAAUACCGGAUAAGUCUUUACGGAGAAAGCUUUAUGCACCAUUGGAUGAGCCUGCACUUGAUUAGUUUGUUGGUGGGGUAAUGGCCUACCAAGACUGUGAUCAAUAGCUGAUUUGAGAGGAUGAUCAGCCACAUUGGGACUGAGACACGGCCCAAACUCCUACGGGAGGCAGCAGUGGGGAAUCUUGCACAAUGGAGGAAACUCUGAUGCAGCGAUGCCGCGUGAGUGAAGAAGGCCUUUGGGUUGUAAAGCUCUUUCGUCGGGGAAGAAAAUGACUGUACCCGAAUAAGAAGGUCCGGCUAACUUCGUGCCAGCAGCCGCGGUAAUACGAAGGGACCUAGCGUAGUUCGGAAUUACUGGGCUUAAAGAGUUCGUAGGUGGUUGAAAAAGUUGGUGGUGAAAUCCCAGAGCUUAACUCUGGAACUGCCAUCAAAACUUUUCAGCUAGAGUAUGAUAGAGGAAAGCAGAAUUUCUAGUGUAGAGGUGAAAUUCGUAGAUAUUAGAAAGAAUACCAAUUGCGAAGGCAGCUUUCUGGAUCAUUACUGACACUGAGGAACGAAAGCAUGGGUAGCGAAGAGGAUUAGAUACCCUCGUAGUCCAUGCCGUAAACGAUGUGUGUUAGACGUUGGAAAUUUAUUUUCAGUGUCGCAGCGAAAGCGAUAAACACACCGCCUGGGGAGUACGACCGCAAGGUUAAAACUCAAAUGAAUUGACGGGGACCCGCACAAGUAGUGGAGCAUGUGGUUAAUCGAAGA